ACUCGGGCUGGGGGCAGUGCACAGAGACCCCUUGCCACCUCUGUGCCUAGGAGCCGGAUAUGCCAGUUGCUUCUGGGAGCUGCACGGAGCCAGGGCAGGCAAGGAGCCUGCCUUAGCCCUGCUACACUGCUGCCUAGACUUUGGCCUAUUAAAAUCUCCUAGAUUGCAUUUAAAAGCCACUGGGAGAUUGAGGCUGAUUCCAGGUGACUCCCGGCCAAUCCAGGAAGAUUGGCAACCCUAACUGGCAAUUAGACCUAAUUGGCGACCAACAUACUGAGAGGAUGGGCUAGUCUGCACCAUCAUUGCUUCUUGUGUCUCAGAAGAAAUGUCUGGGGUUGGGGAGUUGGCACAGGGGGAAAGCUGGCUACUGAGACACUAACUGCUGAGAAAAGGGAAGAGUGAGCUUUGCCAUCAUGGCUGCUACCCAGCUGUCUCCUGGACCCAACCUUCUCAGUCCUAACCCUGAGAGCUGUCCUGACCAGAUCAGACCAGAGAGAGGGACCCACAUGGCCUCGCUGCCUCCACCAGCUCUGGCUGAAUCCCAACCACACCUGGAUGGGAGACUGCUCUUCUCCCCCCUCCAUGUGUCCUUUUCUUCCCUAUCUGAUUUCUACUCUAUCCUCUAUUUUUCUCCCCAUUCUCCUUUUUCCUUCUGUCUAAUACGAGUCUGGCUUAACUGGACAAGACAGCAUAUUUUGCAACACUUCUGUGAGCCUGGCACCAAAGAGGCAGCUCAGAGCAAUGCCCUAAACAGCCUGAUACUGGUAUUCAUUUGCCAGGUCUCAGGCAGCAGUUUUGUUCCAGCAGCGAGGCUGCGAGUGAAAGUCAACACCAGAGCUAGAAGCUGCAUUUUCUGCCCUCGCUGUUCUCAUCUCUCCCCUUCGGUGUGUGUUUGGCUUGUUUUGUUUUUUAGAAAACAGGAUCAGGCUUUAACCACAGCUCCGCUAACUUCUCUUUUCCCCAAAAGGCCAGUUAUUACUGUCUCUGAUACCACCUAAGAGACUCCAGCAAGGGGCUUUUCCUUCUAAAGACUCUCCAGCUAAGCGGAAGGGACCCGGGGAUGUGGUUACACUGACAGCAUGACUUAAUACUUCACAUUUCAAACACUUGAACGGUUUACCCUCCUUUGCUGAAUCUCCAAUAACAGGCUGUUUAAAGAGGUGUUGCCAGGGUAAGAUGCAGGCUGGGGUCUCUGGGUAGCAAACUCUGACCCGUGUAACCCUGGUUAGUGCUGGACAGUGAGUGGGUCACGUUAACAACUCUGAUUCUUUGGGCUCAUAUAUUCCACCUAAGUUAACAGAACAGAGCUCCCUGGAGAGCCAGC